rnacentral:rRNA from 1 species
GAUGAACGCUGGCGGCGUGCCUAAUACAUGCAAGUCGAGCGAACAGACGAGGAGCUUGCUCCUCUGACGUUAGCGGCGGACGGGUGAGUAACACGUGGAUAACCUACCUAUAAGACUGGGAUAACUUCGGGAAACCGGAGCUAAUACCGGAUAAUAUAUUGAACCGCAUGGUACAAUAGUGAAAGACGGUUUUGCUGUCACUUAUAGAUGGAUCCGCGCCGCAUUAGCUAGUUGGUAAGGUAACGGCUUACCAAGGCAACGAUGCGUAGCCGACCUGAGAGGGUGAUCGGCCACACUGGAACUGAGACACGGUCCAGACUCCUACGGGAGGCAGCAGUAGGGAAUCUUCCGCAAAGGGCGAAAGCUUGACGGAGCAACGCCGCGUGAGUGAUGAAGGUCUUCGGAUCGUAAAACUCUGUUAUUAGGGAAGAACAAAUGUGUAAGUAACUAUGCACGUCUUGACGGUACCUAAUCAGAAAGCCACGGCUAACUACGUG